GCGCCUCCUGGCCCCAGGGGCCGGGGCGCCGGCCGUUGCGCGGCCGGUCCACGGAGAGCACGCCGAGCAGUUCGCCGUUGCCGUUGGCGGCGGUGUAC
rnacentral:tRNA from 1 species